GUGAGGAAUAUUGGUCAAUGGGCGCAAGCCUGAACCAGCCAUGCCGCGUGCAGGAAGACGGUCCUAUGGAUUGUAAACUGCUUUUAUUUGGGAAUAAACUCCGGUACGUGUACCGGCCUGAAGGUACCAAAUGAAUAAGCACCGGCUAACUCCGUGCCAGCAGCCGCGGUAAUACGGAGGGUGCAAGCGUUAUCCGGAAUCAUUGGGUUUAAAGGGUCCGCAGGCGGUCUUAUAAGUCAGUGGUGAAAGCCUACAGCUCAACUGUAGAACUGCCAUUGAUACUGUAGGACUUGAAUUCGAUCGAAGUGGGCGGAAUGUGACAUGUAGCGGUGAAAUGCUUAGAUACCAUCAGGAACACCGAUAGCGAAGGCAUUGUACUGGCCGACAACUGACGCUGAUGCACGAAAGUGUGGGGAUCGAACAGGAUUAGAAACCCUGGUAGUCC
rnacentral:rRNA from 1 species